UGGCGGACGGGUGAGUAGUGUCUGGGAAACUGCCCGAUGGAGGGGGAUAACUACUGGAAACGGUAGCUAAUACCGCAUAACGUCGCAAGACCAAAGAGGGGGACCUUCGGGCCUCUUGCCAUCGGAUGUGCCCAGAUGGGAUUAGCUAGUAGGUGGGGUAACGGCUCACCUAGGCGACGAUCCCUAGCUGGUCUGAGAGGAUGACCAGCCACACUGGAACUGAGACACGGUCCAG
rnacentral:rRNA from 1 species